UCCACUAGGUGAUGGUGUUGACCUUGAA
rnacentral:piRNA from 1 species